GAUGAACGCUAGCGGCAGGCUUAAUACAUGCAAGUCGAGGGGCAGCAUGACUGUAGCAAUACAGUUGAUGGCGACCGGCAAACGGGUGCGGAACACGUACAGAACCUUCCUUCGAGCGGGGAAUAGCCCAGAGAAAUUUGGAUUAAUACCCCAUAGUAUUACGGAGUGGCAUCACUUUGUAAUUAAAGAUUUAUCACUUGAAGAUGGCUGUGCGGCUGAUUAGGUAGUUGGCGGGGUAACGGCCCACCAAGCCUGCGAUCAGUAACUGGUGUGAGAGCACGACCAGUCACACGGGCACUGAGACACGGGCCCGACUCCUACGGGAGGCAGCAGUAAGGAAUAUUGGUCAAUGGACGAAAGUCUGAACCAGCCAUGCCGCGUGGAGGAUGAAGGUCCUCUGGAUUGUAAACUUCUUUUAUAUGGGACGAAAAAAGGCUUUUCUAAGUCGUCUGACGGUACCAUAUGAAUAAGCACCGGCUAACUCCGUGCC
rnacentral:rRNA from 1 species